CUAGCGACUUCAGAGUUUGAUCCUGGCUCAGGAUGAACGCUGGCGGCGUGCCUAACACAUGCAAGUCGAGCGAGAUGUUGCAACAUGAAGCUUCGGUAGAUUGUUGUGACGGAAAGCGGCGGACGGGUGAGUAACGCGUAGGUAACCUGCCCCAUACAGAGGGAUAGCCACUGGAAACGGUGAUUAAUACCUCAUAAGACUGCAGAUACACAUGUAUCAGCGGCCAAAGAUUUAUCGGUAUGGGAUGGACCUGCGUCUGAUUAGCUAGUUGGUGGGGUAACGGCUCACCAAGGCGACGAUCAGUAGCCGACCUGAGAGGGUGAUCGGCCACAUUGGAACUGAGACACGGUCCAA
rnacentral:rRNA from 1 species